GUGACCCUAUCAAUUUAUAAUUAAUAUUAUAAUUACGUGCAAAUUCAUCAAAAUGAUAUGAAUAAAAUACACGAGAUAUUUUUUUUUUUAUACUUUGCAUAUAAUAUUUAAUCAUUUUAAUUAUCAGAUUCGCGAUAUGAAGUAUUUAGUUAUUUAACGGGAAAAAAAUUUGUUUGCAGUUGUGAGAUUUUGAAUCAAAUUCCAGUUUCCCGGAAGUACAACGUGACUCCAAUCAAAUGCCUUCUAACCUUCAUAUCUGGGAUAAGGGCACGCGCAGAUCACAGAAAAGAAAUAACUUUCAUAAUCAUCGCGCGAAAGUUCACGAAAUUCAGAAAACCUGAAAAGCGCUGAAAACCUUAAGAGAAAAAAAAAAUGUAGAACUUAAUUAAGUUAUGGAUGAACCAAACACCGCAACGUUGUUAAUAAACCACACUGUAUAUCAAUUAAUAAUAAAACUCCAUUAUGGGAUACACAUCGAUCUCGGCCAUAAGUACGAACAGGUAUCGAGUUUUCACAAGUGUACGCGAACUAACGUGAUUAUAUGACGAUUUUCAACAGAUACUAAUUGAGAACGACUCUCUCGGAAAUCCAUUAUGGCACAACUUUUUAAAGGAAACAAAGAGUAAAGCAACGAAUCGAAUAAUUGAGAUGAGCUGAAGAAUUUUGUAACGUCGAUUUCUUGAUGAAGAAACGUCAGCAGGUCGCGAUUCACGACAGACUCGAACGAGUCUAGCGACGGGACAGAGUGUAGCUGCCACUACCACUGUGGGUUGCCGUUCGGACCCAAAACCAGGGACGUAUUUUUGUUGGUAUACACCAGGGGCCACCAAACUAUUUUGAUCAUUGACCCCUAAAAAUUUGCUAAUUCUCUUAUCCCCUAGAUCGAAUCGACCCCUUUGAUGAUCCCUGGUAUACACCAUUAUUCUUCUUACAUUUAUUUAUAUCAUAUGUUAACAAUAUUUUAGGUAAUUUGUUAUUAAGAACAGAUCCUUGUCAUUAAUGUUAUUUAAGUCAAUAUUACACCUGAGAUAACUGCUCGCCAAGUUAAGAAUCUGUUAAUACGAAUAACAAGGAAAUGAAAACGCUGGAAGAUAAGUACACACGUUUAUUGUAACAUAGAUUUAAAUGAUUUUUAGAUUUCAAUUUGAUUAAAAAAUUGUUUAACUUAGUGCAGGGAGUUCGAGGAACGUAAUACGACACUGUUAUCCCCAUCCGUUUCUUGCUCGUUCGACCGGCUACCGUCUGUACGUUCACAAGAUACCUGAUCUGCGUAUUUCGAUACCUUAAGGUCGGCCGCAAAUAGAAAUCUCACUGUUUGCAUUGAACAUUGGCUUACUUUAAAGUAACCAGGAUAAAAAAAGGAGUGUAAUUUAUAAUUGAGGACGAUCAAUCGUUAAUAUCGUUUGAUAAAACGUUAGGAACAAAAGUGCAAUUCUUCAACUCGUCAGGAUUCUAAUUAAUAAUCGAGUUCCAAUGCUGCACGAUCGACGACGCGAAACGCAUGUCAAAACAAGUCUUGGAUGUAUGCAACGCGACUUGAACUAGAAAAUGUUAGGAAUGUGUCGUGUUCAUACACGUUCGAUUGAACGGUGUUCAAGUUCGUAUUUGACAUUGGAAGUCGUACAUAAAAAACACAGUUUUUAAAGUUAGUCCUUCCAAACAGAUUUUAAUUUACGUUAAAAGUAUCAUUAAGCUUUUUUUUUUUUUUUCAUCGAGAAUCGCUUUGCGCCACAUUCUUAAAGAGAAGAGUUACAACGAAGAGACUGUGGCCCAAGAAUCACUGCAUUCCCCGACAUAACGGGUCGUACGGAAAGUAACUCGUUCCAAAAUUUUCGAAAACUUUUUCUCUUAUCGAAUGUUCCGGAUGCACCGGUUGUUCGAACAUAGUUGAAGAAAACUCGUCCCGAAUCGUUAGAUCCAAGCCAUCGUUUAUAGAAGAAUAAAUCGAAAUCAAUUGAAUCUAAUAAGUUCCAGCUCGCGUAUACGUACUACCGUAUUGUUUCCUUGAAGUGUGAUUCAACUUUAUAAACGUGGGUUUCAUCAAUACUAUUAAUAUUUCAUAACAUCUUUCUUAUGCAAAGUUGUCGGUUUAGGAUAAGGAUGAUUAUGAAAAUAACUGAUUUCGAUAGAUUUUCACCGAUAGAAUCUUUCUUGAUUAGUAUACUUUUUUUUUUAUUCCAUACUUGAGGCGUUACUCAUCGAAUAAGAAUAAAGUUAUAUAAGAAUGAUAUAUUUAACUGUCGCUGCACGAAUGGUAACGUAAUUAACGCAUAAUCGAUACUUUCAUAGCCGAUAUGUAUUCUCAUCAAGUGUUACGGUGAUUUGCGCGUCAUAAUGGGCUAGUAAUUUUAAUGAUGUACGUUAGGAGUAGAACCGCUCGUAUGUAGUGUAGGGCGGCAGCAGCAGCCAGGGGCAAUUGCCCUAAGCCCGUGUAUCAAAUAAUCGAAUUAGGACACCUGUAAUGAGAGAAAGACGAAGCAAGUGGAAUAGGGAAAUUGGCAAUAUUGUGCCUGACACGGUAAAACGCAUAGGAACGCAUUCCACAUGUCACCGAGCCGUGAGUUAUUCGGCGAACGAAACAACCGCAAACAUUUCUUCCUCGAUAACUAAUAACGGUGCAGGGCAUACUCGGUCUUGCAUAAGAUCAUACAAAAACGGUACUGUAAUUAUACGAAUCAGAAUAUUACGAUUAUGUAUACGCUGGUAGAACGCCAUCGGAAGAAACAAUUCAUAACUAUCCGUGCCAAUUUUGUCUUGUAUAACGAUAAUUCUUAUUUACAUCGUUCCAUCUAAUUAAUACGUACAAGUACCGGAAUUAAAAUCGAAAAAUCACGUGGAAGAUUAUAAGGAUCGUUAUAAGAUAGCACGGCCAGUUUACGGGAAUUACAUUUACAUGUGGUACGUAGGUAGGGGUCGACUAUCCUUGUUCAUGACCAAAUACGUCUUCGAGCAUACAACGACUUUACCAUCGUGACCACACCUACGAUCCACCACGAUAUUCCUUUUCAAUUGAUAAUGCACGAAUAUUAUGCAAACUGGUCGCUAACACCGCUAGAUAAAAGCAUUAACUCGUUUAAUGUCACGUUGAUCGUCCGUGACUACUAACAGCAAACACCGUAUGCUUGCAAAGAGAUCUUAACCGAUACGGAAUUCAAUUUUUACUUUUAUCCCCGUUAUAAUAAAAUGUUACGGAAUUUCAAAAAUUAUAGUUUAAUCCAGGGAUGGGCAAAUAGGACACUAAGAUAGAAAAAUCCAUUUUGAACCGAGAUUUUCUUCCCGGCAAUAAAACUGCCACUAUUUUAUUGAAUUUAUAUUGAUCGAUUUUUAUGGAAUGUAAUCAUUUUAAUAGGUGCUCCGCUUCCACAAAUUGGCCACCGAGCCAAAACAAUUGCCCACCCCCGGUUUAAUCGAAUAUACUGGAAUAGAUAUUUUGAAACGCCUUGACGUUGAUGCUUGAAACAACUCGAGAAUUUAAUGGAAUUCCAACAAACAUCCUUGCAGUAUUGUAGGCCACGUGCAAUCAUGAUCGCGGAAUGCACCCCUCUACGCGAAUAAUAUUCUUCGUAGAUUUACAAUGGCGUAGCGAAUGAAUCCGUGUUCCAGUUUUAUGGUAAAACAGGACAAAGAGUAUUGCAAACGAGUACGUCGGUAUAUAAAAGAAACGUGGUAUUGUCCAUUUUUAAUUUUCUCUUAAGGUUCUUACGCAACGAUGAGAAAGCAGAUUAUUAAAAAAAAAAGCCCUAACGUACGACGUUAUAUGAUAGAAAUAUAUAUAAUGAGAUUAAUUAAAUAGGCAUAGCGUGCGGUAUGCUUCGUUAAAUAAA